rnacentral:rRNA from 1 species
GAUGAACGCUGGCGGCGUGCCUAAUACAUGCAAGUCGAGCGAACAGAUGAGGAGCUUGCUCCUCUGACGUUAGCGGCGGACGGGUGAGUAACACGUGGAGAACCUACCUAUAAGACUGGGAUAACUUCGGGAAACCGGAGCUAAUACCGGAUAAUAUAUUGAACCGCAUGGUUCAAUAGUGAAAGACGGUUUUGCUGUCACUUAUAGAUGGAUCCGCGCCGCAUUAGAUAGUUGGUAAGGUAACGGCUUACCAAGGCAACGAUGCGUAGCCGACCUGAGAGCGUGAUCGGCCACACUGGAACUGAGACACGGUCCAGACUCCUACGGGAGGCAGCAGUAGGGAAUCUUACGCAAUGGGGGAGAGCCUGACGGAGCAACGCCGCGUGAGUGAUGAAGGUCUUCGGAUCGUAAAACUCUGUUAUUAGGGAAGAACAAAUGUGUAAGUAACUAUGCACGUCUUGACGGUACCUAAUCAGAAAGCCACGGCUAACUACGUG